rnacentral:lncRNA from 1 species
UCGGUUAUCUUAACUUUACCUAACACUUUCCUUUAAAUAAGUCCACACAUUAAAUAAAACACCCCACUUUUCUCCUAACUUUUCAUUUCUUCAUUCUCAAAAAUCUCAACAAAAAAAAAUUAACCAUCAAAAUGUCCAAUAUUUUCUCCAUAACUCUCUCAAUUUUCUUAAUUUCAUCAAUUUUCUUCCAUUUCUCCACAGCAUUAGGUGGUGGAGUUGGUGGUUGGACACCAAUAAAUGACUUAAAUGCCCUUGAUGUGGUGGCAAUUGGGGAAUUUGCUGUGAAUGAACAUAAUAAAGAAGCAGGGACAAAAUUGGAAUAUCAAAGUAUUGCAAAAGGAGAAAGUCAGGUUGUUGCAGGAACAAAUUAUCGACUAGUAAUUAAUGCUAAGGAUGGAAAUUAUGUACGUAAGUAUUUAGCAAUUGUUUGGGAUAAACCAUGGGAGAAAGUUAAGAAACUUACUUCUUUUAAACAAAUGUAAGAAGGGAUUCAGGAUCUCGAGUCAGUAGAUUCAGAAUAAACCUAAUUUUAUGAUAUAUGGAUGUUUUUAGUAUAUGUAUAUAUUGUUCGAUAUAUGUAUUUGUUAUGAUUUAGAGGGUUUAAGAUAUUGAGUCAGUGGAUUCAGAAUAAACGUAAUUUUAUGAUAUAUUAUAUGUUUUAAUGUUUUUGUAUGUGUAUAUAUUGUUCGAGAUAUGUAUUGGUUAUGAUUCGGAGGAUUCGGGAUCUUGAUUUAGUGGAUUCAGAAUAAAUGUGAUCUUAUGAUAUAUGGAUGUUUUAAUGUUUUUUGUAUAUGCAUAUAUUGUUCGAGAUAUGUAUUGGUUAUGAUUUGGAGGGUUUAAGAUAUUGCGUUAGUGAGAAUAAACGUGAUCUUAU